GACGAACGCUGGCGGUGUGCUUAACACAUGCAAGUCGAACGGUAAGGCCCUUUCGGGGGUACACGAGUGGCGAACGGGUGAGUAACACGUGAGUAACCUGCCUUCAUCUCUGGGAUAACAGUCGGAAACGGUUGCUAAUACUGGAUAUGAGCUUGCAAGGCAUCUUGUGGGUUGGAAAGAUUUUUUUUGGUUGGGGAUGGACUCGCGGCCUAUCAGCUUGUUGGUGAGGUAGUGGCUCACCAAGGCUUCGACGGGUAGCCGGCCUGAGAGGGCGACCGGCCACAUUGGGACUGAGAUACGGCCCAAACUCCUACGGGAGGCAGCAGUGGGGAAUAUUGCACAAUGGACGGAAGUCUGAUGCAGCAACGCCGCGUGCGGGAUGACGGCCUUCGGGUUGUAAACCGCUUUCAAUUGUGACGAAGCUUUUUUGUGACGGUAGCAGUAGAAGAAGCACCGGCUAACUACGUG
rnacentral:rRNA from 1 species